CUAGCCUUCCGCUAGUGGACCUGGAGUGGACCGGACAGGUGCAACUGACCGUCAACAACCCAGGUAAGCCUGUAAUUACCAGAAGCGGCGUCUGGCUGAAUACUGUAUUAUCCUCUAACGUCCUGAGCCUCCGAAAAACUUGGCAGACCACCCACCGAAUGGAAACGGACCGCACGACAAAACUGCCGGAGCGCAACGCGGGGCUCGUCAUACCGCCGACUCACCUGUCACACUCACCUGGAUCGCCUCGACUCUUCUUGUUCUCCGAUAUCGAUCCGAUUGUCGGUCUUACAAGGCGGCCAAGCGGUCUGCCAGACUGCUGCCGGUCGACUGGCCCCAAGCCCCAUGGCUCAGUUUCUUCAGAUAACGUUAUGAUGUUAUGAUCCAUUCGUGGGACCGAAAACAUUGAUGAUCCCGUGAAGAAAUUCCAAUCGAAGAUGGGAUGCCAGUGUAAUAGCCCUCGCAACAGAUCAGUCGACCGUUAUUUAAUGAACGAAAUUGAUUGUUCAGUAGUGAAUCCAAAUUUGAGAAAUUAUGUAUGAUUCGUAAAUAGCGGUUGGCAUUAAGUCUGAUAUUCAAAUUCUCAAAUUUUUAUGCGUCAUUGCUAGAAUCUGAAUCUCCGAAACUUUCAUCUGAUUCGAUCUGACAGGAGGAAAGGCAAGCCACGGGUUAUUUUCAGUCAAAAGCCAUUAACGUCACUUUUCUGUCAGUAAAAGAUUCGGACUCAUCUGAAGUCGGAUGGUUUCGUGACUGUCAGCGGUAGGAAAAUGGCGCGAUAGCGUGACCACAACUUUCAACGCGGUUAACGAAGACGGGAUAUACUCGUCCGCGGGUGGGGAUUAGUCUCGAUGGUUUUGUCGACAAUUGUAAGAACGACAAAAGGAGAAGGCAAAUAUCCGGACCCACUAAGGGCGGUAACGAUUUUUUUCUUGCUGGCCCGAGAGAAGCUGGGAUUCGAGAUUGUCUGUCGUCCGUCAACACGGCGGAGAAGGAAGGAAACGGCGCCCUGCACUCCCGGGUAGAAAUCUCCGGGGAUCAGCCAUAAGGAGGUAACGUUUGGCGGCGAAGAAUAAGAAUAACUAACCAGCCCACUUCUGAUAUGGAUCUACAUCAAUUGCCUAUCUUUCUUCUAACAAAGGAACAGGCGGGGCCAUCAUUCUAAAUCACUACGACACUAAACAGCAGCCUACUUUUCUUAUUUUAUACUAUUUUUUAGCAGUAGUUACUAAGCAGCGAAUUUAUCUCAAAAACAAUUCGUGGUUGAAAACCAGCCACGAAUUGUUUCCACUGAUUUGUCCAAUAGUCGUAGUAUAGAAAUCAGUUGACUCAGUCCGAAAUCUUUCUCCCUGAAAGAAUCUGUGGAAGUGGACCUGUAAUCGAUCCCGAAUCCUCCAGAUGUAUACCACUUUUCCUUUCUAGCAAUCAGGUAAUCCUAAAAGGUGAUUUCCUCGCCGAAAUCGGAUAUAGAGUACAGACUCCAGCUUCCAUUUUAUACUUUGACCCUACUUGUUUUAAUCACAUUCGUCUACAAUAAUUUAGAUGCAAACUUGUGUCGUCCAAUCCAUCAGGAAUUUCAGUAACUGAUCGUUCUUCAAUUUCUAUUAUUUUUGUUUUUUUUUUUUUUUUUUUAAUAAUUCUGUUAAUUGAUGCUAAUGUUUUAUUAAUUUUUG
rnacentral:lncRNA from 1 species